rnacentral:rRNA from 1 species
GACGAACGCUGGCGGCGUGCUUAACACAUGCAAGUCGAACGGAAAGGCCCUGCUUUUGUGGGGUGCUCGAGUGGCGAACGGGUGAGUAACACGUGAGUAACCUGCCCUUGACUUUGGUAUAACUUCAGGAAACUGGGGCUAAUACCGGAUAGGAUCUCCUGCUGCAUGGUGGGGGUUGGGACGUUUCGGCGGUUGGGGAUGGACUCGCGGCUUAUCAGCUUGUUGGUGGGGUAGUGGCUUACCAAGGCUUUGACGGGUAGCCGGCCUGAGAGGGUGACCGGCCACAUUGGGACUGAGAUACGGCCCAGACUCCUACGGGAGGCAGCAGUGGGGAAUAUUGCACAAUGGGCGGAAGCCUGAUGCAGCAACGCCGCGUGCGGGAUGACGGCCUUCGGGUUGUAAACCGCUUUCGCCUGUGACGAAGCGUGAGUGACGGUAAUGGGUAAAGAAGCACCGGCUAACUACGUG